rnacentral:rRNA from 1 species
AACGAACGCUGGCGGCAGGCCUAACACAUGCAAGUCGAGCGCCCUUUCGGGGGAGCGGCGGACGGGUGAGUAACGCGUGGGAAUAUGCCCUUCUCUACGGAAUAGCCUCGGGAAACUGAGAGUAAUACCGUAUACGCCCUUUGGGGGAAAGAUUUAUCGGGGAAGGAUUAGCCCGCGUUGGAUUAGGUAGUUGGUGGGGUAAUGGCCUACCAAGCCGACGAUCCAUAGCUGGUUUGAGAGGAUGAUCAGCCACACUGGGACUGAGACACGGCCCAGACUCCUACGGGAGGCAGCAGUGGGGAAUCUUAGACAAUGGGGGUAACCCUGAUCUAGCCAUGCCGCGUGAGUGAUGAAGGCCUUAGGGUUGUAAAGCUCUUUCAGCUGGGAAGAUAAUGACGGUACCAGCAGAAGAAGCCCCGGCUAACUCCGUG